UACGGGGGGAGCAAGCGUUGUUCGGAUUUACUGGGCGUAAAGGGCGCGUAGGCGGCCACCGCAAGUCGAUUGUGAAAUCUCCGGGCUUAACCCGGAAAAGUCAACCGAUACUGCGGGGCUAGAGUGCAGAAGGGGCAACUGGAAUUCUCGGUGUAGCGGUGAAAUGCGUAGAUAUCGAGAGGAACACCUGCGGCGAAGGCGGGUUGCUGGGCUGACACUGACGCUGAAGCGCGAAAGCUAGGGGAGCGAACGGG
rnacentral:rRNA from 1 species